rnacentral:rRNA from 1 species
GACGAACGCUGGCGGCGUGCUUAACACAUGCAAGUCGAACGGAAAGGCCUGCUUUCCCUUGUGGAUUGCGGGUACUCGAGUGGCGAACGGGUGAGUAACACGCGAGUGAUCUGCCCCCAACUUGGGUAUAAGCCUGGGAAACUGGGUCUAAUUCCCGAUAGGACUGCAGGGUGGUGCCUGUGGUGGAAAACGAUUUUCUAGUGGUUGGGGAUGAGCUCGCGGCCUAUCAGCUUGUUGGUGGGGUAAUGGCCUACCAAGGCGGCGACGGGUAGCCGGCCUGAGAGGGUGGACGGCCACAUUGGGACUGAGAGACGGCCCAGACUCCUACGGGAGGCAGCAGUGGGGAAUAUUGCACAAUGGGCGGAAGCCUGAUGCAGCGACGCCGCGUGGGGGAUGACGGCCUUCGGGUUGUAAACUCCUUUCGACCGCGAGGAAGCCACCUGGUUGGAAGGGUGGUGACGGUAGUGGUAGAAGAAGCACCGGCUAACUACGUG